GACCCCACCCCCAAGCUGAGUGAUAUCUUGGUUUCCCAGUGUUGCCAUGGGCUCCAGGCUUCUCUGCUGCGUGGCCCUUUGUCUCCUGGGAGCAGGCCCAGUGGAUUCCGGAGUCACCCAAACUCCGAGACACCUGGUCAAAGGAAGAGGACAGCAAGUGACGCUGAGUUGUUCCCCUAUCUCUGGACACCUAUCUCUGUACUGGUACCAACAGGCCAUGGGCCAGGGCCCCCAGAUACUCAUUCAGUAUUACGACAGGAAAGAGUAUAACAAAGGAAACUUCUCGGAACGAUUCUCGUGUCAACAGUUCCCCGACUAUCACUCUGAGCUAAACAUGAGCUCCUUGGAGCUGACGGACACGGCCGUCUAUCUCUGUGCCAGCAGCCCUGACACAGCCCUGCGCCCUCCACAGCCUACUGUACAAAAAUAUUCCACUCCCAGCUCAGGAAGUGAUGGCGAGGGUGGUGGCUGCCAGCCACAUGGCCUCUGGCCCUGGUAA